AUUGAACGCUGGCGGAAUGCUUUACACAUGCAAGUCGAACGGCAGCACGGACUUCGGUCUGGUGGCGAGUGGCGAACGGGUGAGUAAUGUAUCGGAACGUGCCCAGUCGUGGGGGAUAACGUAGUGAAAAUUACGCUAAUACCGCAUACGAUCUAUGGAUGAAAGCGGGGGAUCGCAAGACAUCGCGCGAUUGGAGCGGCCGAUAUCAGAUUAGGGAGUUGGUGGGGUAAAGGCCCACCAAGCCAACGAUCUGUAGCUGGUCUGAGAGGACGACCAGCCACACUGGAACUGAGACACGGUCCAGACUCCUACGGGAGGCAGCAGUGGGGAAUUUUGGACAAUGGGCGAAAGCCUGAUCCAGCCAUUCCGCGUGCAGGAUGAAGGCCCUCGGGUUGUAAACUGCUUUUGUACAGAACGAAAAGGUUUCUACUAAUACUAGGAGCUCAUGACGGUACUGUACGAAUAAGCACCGGCUAACUACGUGCCAGCAGCCGCCGCCG
rnacentral:rRNA from 1 species